GAGAACAGAAUGAGAUACCAUAUCGAAGGCCUUCUUAAAGUCUAGGUAGAUGACAUCUACCUCGUCUCCUGCAUCUACACAUUUUGUGAUCUGGGUAUUUUGACUUCCUUGCUGUAAGUUGAGGGUAUUCUUUUGGGAUUAUUUUAGGUGAGGAUGUUAAUUUUUGUUAACUUCUCCCUUCUGCUCUUGUGCGUUAUGGGUGUAGCUUUGUUUUGUAUGAAUCCGUAGAAGCAGAGAAAAGGUGGUAGAAAAGAUGUCCAUAACCUGUGGAACUGGAUAAAACAAGUAGGGUAGGGAAUCAAACAUAGAUUUCUGUAUUAGUAGAUGGAUGAUAGCUGAGUCCAUGUAAGUUGAUGAAACUACACAGAGGGAAACAAGAAGCAGCAGCAGUGAACAUUUAAAUAAAAGCCAAAGCAAC